GGGGCUAUAGCUCAGCUGGUAGAGCGCGUCGUUCGCAAUGACGAGGUCAGGGGUUCGACUCCCCUUAGCUCCA
rnacentral:tRNA from 1 species